rnacentral:rRNA from 1 species
GACGUAGGGCGCGAGCGUUGUCCGGAUUUAUUGGGCGUAAAGAGCUCGUAGGCGGCUUGUCGCGUCGACUGUGAAAUCUCAGGGCUCAACUCUGACAUUGCAGUCGAUACGGGCAGGCUAGAGUUCGGUAGGGGAGACUGGAAUUCCUGGUGUAGCGGUGAAAUGCGCAGAUAUCGGGAAGAACACCUAUGGCGAAGGCAGCUCUCUGGGACGGUACUGACGCUGAGAAGCGAAAGCAUGGGGAGCGAACAGG